rnacentral:rRNA from 1 species
UACGUAGGUGGCAAGCGUUGUCCGGAUUUACUGGGCGUAAAGAGCGCGCAGGCGGUCGUUCAAGUCGCGUGUGAAAGCCCCCGGCUCAACUGGGGAGGGUCACGCGAUACUGAUCGACUCGAAGGCAGGAGAGGGUAGUGGAAUUCCCGGUGUAGAGGUGAAAUUCGUAGAUAUCGAGAGGAACACCGGUGGCGAAGGCGGCCAACUGGACGAAUACUGACGCUGAGACACGAAAGCGUGGGGAGCAAACAGG